rnacentral:lncRNA from 1 species
GUUUAGAAAACCAUGUGAAUACUGAGUCGGGUCCUGAAUUCUGGAAUCACCGUAACUGCUGUUUUUAAGGACCUGUGUGCGUACCCACGUAACAUUUCAAAUCCUAGCUGAAAUCAUACUUACUUGUUUUGGUCCGUAAAGGCGUCUUUACGUAUUGCUGGUCAGCUAGCAAUGCUGGACUGAGUUCAUUACAGAGAACGUGUACUUGAAACAGAUCCACAGCAAAGGGCCCGAGUAAUGUUAGCACCAGAUAACAAAGUAUCGAUGAGUAUAGGGCGUCCUUAGAACUCACGAUGCAAGCCUUUAUCUUUGGAACCUCCAAGCUAAGAGAGCUAGAACCAAGAUCAUCUCGAUUUAUUGCUGUGGAAGAACAGAGGGAGAGAGAGUUCCCCAGAUGACAUUGAUUUCUUAGUAGGAGUUGUCCAGUGACCUAGACAAGCGCUUGCAUAAUCCACAGGUGGCCCAGAAAUGUGAUGUGCUGCCCAAGGAAGCCAAAGGGUGGAGGAAGGUAGGUGAACCCAUGUUUCAGGAGCAGACCUUGCCGACCCAACAUCAUAUUCUAGAGAGAGGGGAGGGUAAAUUCUGCAGAAUAUCCAUGCUCUCCUUUUCUGUCUUCUUGUAACUUUUUUUUUUCUCGUGACUUCUUGACUUCAAAGCAGACAACAGCACAUCUUUUUGUUGCCACCUGAUGAAGUUUGCCCUGCACUUAGGCUGUAAUCCUACUCUAAUGUGAGCAUUGCAGUCCUGACGUGGGAAGACUUCUGUCCACGUUAAUCACGCUUUCAAAACAGUAAAAUGGCAGCCUUUGUCCCAAGAAAGGGAGUCUCGUCUUGCCUUUUUUCUUUUCUUUCUCUUUUCUUGUUUUAAAUGUUUGUCGAUUUUCAGAGAGAGAGAGAGAGAGAGAGAGUGCGAGUGCGAGCAGCAGAGGGGCAGAGAGAGGGAGAGAGAAUCCCAAGCAGGCCCCGUGCUGUGGGCGCAGAGCCUGACAUGGCCUCGGUCCCACAAACCAUGAGAUCCAUGACCUGAGCUGAAACCAGGAGUCAGAAGUUUAACCGACUGAGCCCGUCAGGCGCCCCCCCUUUCUUUUUUUUAAGUUGUAUUUCUUGGGGUCUUAGACCCAAUAUAUCCACUGCUAAGAAAAACUGGUUUUAACCGCUUAAAGCUUUCCUAACUCUAGGUGUUGUUGGGCGAGUGUUCUGGCAACGACGUAGUUUGCUAUUGAGAAAUGACUAAGUAAACUAUAUGUCCCUUGCUGUGCCUCUGCCGAGUGCCAUUCAGUCAGCCAGAGCACCGCCCCUGCAUCCUGGUGGCCGUCUUAUCUCCUUUGAGGACGAAUGCUAAAACUACACGAACACUGUGCUUUCCUCCCAAGAGGAUUUUCAUUUUCUUGCAGUUCCCCGUGUUGGUUUUGAAAAGCUGUAUUUUGCGGCUAAGAGAGAAGGAAGUUAGACUGGCCUCCGUUACACACUCUUCAAAGUAACACUUCUCUGACUAAUGCCUCCGUUCUCACAGAGGAGUUCUAGAGAAGUAGGCAUUUUCUGCUGAUGAAAUGGCAGCUGGGGUCAAAGAACAUGGACCUCUCAAGCUGCCCCCUCAUGCCAGCCCUGGUUAUAAGGCUGUCCAUGUGGUGGUGAGAAAGUGCAUUUCCAGCUGGGCUUCUGGAAGCCUCGAGAUGGAGGGUAGUAAUGUGCCCCUGCAGAUCUGACGAAGCUACUCCCAGUGUUUGCUCUUCCUUCUGCCAGUUGCCUUCCUCUGUGCUUGCCAAGUUUCUGCUUCUUCGUGGCUUUGGCCGGCCAUGGCCCUGACUCCACCUCAUGGCAUCCUUUUACCUUCAGCAAAUAGAAAUAUGUCUUGCGCGUUCAGAUUCCCGAGGCAGAUAAAGACCUGGCCGGGGGUCCUAGAGAUGGCUAAUGUGUGAACUGACUGCCCUUUGGCCCAGGGUAGGCACCUGACCCAUUAACUGUGUCCUAGAGGAGAGGGGCAACAUCCAAUUACUCAACGUGACCUUCGCUGUUCAGCAGGGGUGUUGUCACAGGUACCAUGCCGUCUCCAGAACAGGGGAGUUAACGGGAGCUGGUUUUCUCCGUGGGCCCGGGUAGACACUUCAUUUGUAGUCCCGGUAGAAAGGUGAGCGUUACACAUAAUUCGGAUACUUGGCAUUUUUAAUACUGUUUAUCCCCCUGCUGUUGUUAAGGUCAACUGCAGAAUAGGGAGGAGCCCAGUGGAUUUG